GAUGAACGCUAGCGAUAGGCUUAACACAUGCAAGUCGAGGGGCAGCACAAGGUAGCUUGCUAUCUGGGUGGCGACCGGCGCACGGGUGCGUAACGCGUAUGCAACUUGCCCUAUACAGGAGGAUAACCGUCGAAAGACGGACUAAUACUGCGUAUGCUCACAACUUGGCAUCAAGUGGUGAGGAAAGAAAUUCGGUAUAGGAUAGGCAUGCGUCCCAUUAGCUUGUUGGUGAGGUAACGGCUCACCAAGGCAACGAUGGGUAGGGGAACUGAGAGGUUUAUCCCCCACACUGGUACUGAGACACGGACCAGACUCCUACGGGAGGCAGCAGUGAGGAAUAUUGGUCAAUGGGCGCGAGCCUGAACCAGCCAAGUCGCGUGAAGGAUGACUGUCUUAUGGAUUGUAAACUUCUUUUAUACGGGAAUAACAAGAGUCACGUGUGACUCCCUGCAUGUACCGUAUGAAUAAGCAUCGGCUAACUCCGU
rnacentral:rRNA from 1 species